UGGGGAAUAUUGCGCAAUGGGGGAAACCCUGACGCAGCGACGCCGCGUGCGGGAUGAAGGCCUUCGGGUUGUAAACCGCUUUUGAUUGGGAGCAAGCUUUCGGGUGAGUGUACCUUUCGAAUAAGCGCCGGCUAACUACGUGCCAGCAGCCGCGGUAAUACGUAGGGCGCAAGCGUUAUCCGGAUUUAUUGGGCGUAAAGCGAGCGCAGGCGGUCAAUUAAGUCUGAUGUGAAAGCCCCCGGCUCAACCGGGGAGGGUCAUUGGAAACUGGUUGACUUGAGUGCAGAAGAGGAGAGUGGAAUUCCAUGUGUAGCGGUGAAAUGCGUAGAUAUAUGGAGGAACACCAGUGGCGAAGACGACUCUCUGGUCUGUAACUGACGCUGAGGUUCGAAAGCGUGGGUAGCAAACAGG
rnacentral:rRNA from 1 species